rnacentral:rRNA from 1 species
GAUGAACGCUGGCGGCGUGCCUAAUACAUGCAAGUCGAGCGAACAGACGAGGAGCUUGCUCCUCUGACGUUAGCGGCGGACGGGUGAGUAACACGUGGAUAACCUACCUAUAAGACUUGGAUAACUUCGGGAAACCGGAGCUAAUACCGGAUAACAUGUUGAACCGCAUGGUUCAACAGUGAAAGACGGUCUUGCUGUCACUUAUAGAUGGAUCCGCGCCGCAUUAGCUAGUUGGUAAGGUAACGGCUUACCAAGGCAACGAUGCGUAGCCGACCUGAGAGGGUGAUCGGCCACACUGGAACUGAGACACGGUCCAGACUCCUACGGGAGGCAGCAGUAGGGAAUCUUCCGCAAUGGGCGAAAGCCUGACGGAGCAACGCCGCGUGAGUGAAGAAGGUCUUCGGAUCGUAAAACUCUGUUAUUAGGGAAGAACAAAUGUGUAAGUAACUAUGCACGUCUUGACGGUACCUAAUCAGAAAGCCACGGCUAACUACGUG